UACGGGGGGGGCAAGCGUUGUUCGGAAUUACUGGGCGUAAAGGGCUCGUAGGCGGCCAACUAAGUCGGACGUGAAAUCCCUCGGCUUAACCGGGGAACUGCGUCCGAUACUGGAUGGCUUGAGUUUGGGAGAGGGAUGCGGAAUUCUUGGUGUAGCGGUGAAAUGCGUAGAUAUCAAGAGGAACACCUGAGGUGAAGACGGGUUGCUGGGCUGACACUGACGCUGAGGCGCGAAAGCCAGGGGAGCAAACGGG
rnacentral:rRNA from 1 species